UUCCGGUUGAUCCUGCCGGACCUGACUGCUAUCGGAUUGAUACUAAGCCAUGCGAGUCUUUGUAGUAAUACAAGGCAUACGGCUCAGUAACGCGUAGUCAACCUACCCUAUGGACAAGAAUAAUCUCGGGAAACUGAGCAUAAUUCUUGAUAGAUCAUAAUGCCUGGAAUGGUUUAUGGUUAAAAUGAUUCGUCGCCAUAGGAUGGGACUGCGGCCUAUCAGCUUGUUGGUGAGGUAAUGGCCCACCAAGGCGAUUACAGGUACGGGCUCUGAGAGGAGAAGCCCGGAGAUGGGUACUGAGACAAGGACCCAGGCCCUAUGGGGCGCAGCAGGCGAGAAAACUUUGCAAUGUGCGAAAGCACGACAAGGUUAGUCCGAGUGAUUUCUGCUAAAGAGAUCUUUUGCUAGUUAUAAAACCACUAGUGAAUGAGGGGUGGGCAAGUUCUGGUGUCAGCCGCCGCGGUAAAACCAGCACCUCAAGUGGUCAGGAUGAUUAUUGGGCCUAAAGCACCCGUAGCCGGCUCUGUAAGUUUUCGGUUAAAUCUAUACGCUCAACGUAUGGGCUGCCGAAAAUACUGUAGAGAUAGGGAGUGGGAGAGGUAGACGGUACUCGGUAGGAAGGGGUAAAAUCCUUUGAUCUAUCGAUGACCACCUGUGGCGAAGGCGGUCUACCAGAACACGUUCGACGGUGAGGGAUGAAAGCUGGGGGAGCAAACCGGAUUAGAUACCCGGGUAGUCCCAGCUGUAAACGAUGCAGACUCGAUGAUGCAUUGGCAUAUAGCCAGUGCAGUGUCGCAGGGAAGCCGUUAAGUCUGCCGCCUGGGAAGUACGUACGCAAGUAUGAAACUUAAAGGAAUUGGCGGGGGAGCACCACAAGGGGUGAAGCCUGCGGUUCAAUUGGACUCAACGCCGGGA
rnacentral:rRNA from 1 species